rnacentral:lncRNA from 10 species
UGUGUUGCCCUGGCUGAUCUUAAACUCCUGAGCUCAAGCGAUCCACCCGCCUUGGCCUCCCAAAGUGCUGGGAGUACAGGCGUGAGCCACUGCACCCAGCAUCAGCCUUCUUAUUCUGUCAUCCCUUGUCAACCUCUGAGAUGCCUUCAAGGAACCUCUUAAGGUAUCCCAGAACACCUUUUCUAAGGGACCUUUUUUUAAGUAAUGUGCAUUAACCUCUUUUCUAGAUAGUGCUGGAUACACUAGGAAGAGAAAAGCAAAACGAUAGUGCCAGAGGCUAAGGGAACCUGAAAAAUCAAAUAGUUGCCUUUUGCUACUUGCUAACAGCCUAGUGAAGAUUUGGUAGAAGUAGUAUUUGGACCUUUUUAAAAUUUUUUUUAGUGUCAAUGGGUUUACAUAAUUCAUCUAUUUCCUAUUCCAUAUUGCCAUGGAGCAUAGUGUAGAUCAUCUAGACUUAGCUGUAUGCAGCUUUUCUACUAGAGUUAUUAGUGUCAUCCUCAAGGUAACAGGCACUAAUAAUUAGAACUCUCCGUCUUCUUUUUUUUGGUAUCUCCCUACACUCCUGACUCUUAUAUAGAACAAAGAACUUUGAGUCUGGCAAGGCUUAUAAGACAACAUGGGGAGAUGGUGGAGAAAACUCACCUUGCAAUGUAGUAUCUAAACAGCCAGGCCCGGUGACAAAUGGUCAGCUUCAGCAACCAACAACGGGAGCAGCCAGUGGUGGAUACAUUAAACGGUAUGCCAACUCCUCCUGAUAUUCCUGUACCUUUCUUAAUGAAUGGUUCACUUAGGAGAUGAGUUUAGCAGUACAUGACCCCUAAUAAAACAAAUAAAAAUUGUAUUUAUUCCAUUUUUAAAAUGCAUUUAAAAAUCUGCCCACUGACAAAAUGUGGGUUUUUUUUAUUUGUUGUUUUGUUUUGAGACAGAGUCUUGCUGUGUUGCCCAGGCUGGAGUGCAGUGGCGUGAUCUCAGCUCACUGCAACCUCUGCCUCCCAGGUUCAAUUACUCGGGAGGCUGAGGCAGAAGGAUUGCUUGAGUGUAGGAGUUGAAGGCUGCAGUGAGCUGUGAUUGCACCAUUGCAUUCCAGCCUGGGCAACAGAGUGAGACCCUUU